AAUAUGGUAGGCUUUGAGUUUAAUUCUUUUAUUUUUAAUGUUAUGUUUAUCUAUCAACUAGUUUUAUCGCACAUUGAAACAAAUAGACCCAAUUCACAGUGGGCACCCAAAUUAUGAAUAUCUGUUCUUGCUUUCUACCUUCCUCUGCAACAUAAUGACGAUACAA
rnacentral:lncRNA from 1 species